rnacentral:lncRNA from 1 species
AGAUCUAGAAGAAAGGAUCUGAGUGACAGGCUUAGGUGCGUUGUCUGCGUCCCAGGAACAGAGCAAAGCACACUGGCUCAGGCAUGAGGAAGCCACACCCCAAUCCUGCCUUUCAGGUGCCAAUAGAGAACAACCCCUUCAGCGGAACCACGGUGCUUUACAUCUCUCUCUGAACUCUCAGAUCUCCUAAGUGGAGAUGGCUGAUUAAGGCUCUUAUCUUUCACGUUCUAAAAUCAAUUUAGUGUUGUUCGGAGCCAGCAAUGUUAAAAUAUAUUUGUAUUUUGAAACAAAGUU